GAGACUUCGAAAUGUUCAUAUUUCUCGGUGGACUUGUGAUAAAGUAAGCCAUCCAAAACAACAGGACUCAACAUCCUGUGGGGCACUUGUCUGCAAGUUUGCAGAGCUUAUUCUCAGCGGUGCCUGAUAGAUUUCUCUACAGACGAGGCUUCCAUCACUCUGUUGAGGCGAGAAAUAGCAUGCAGACUGGUCACUGACUCAGGUUGGUCGCUUUUUCUGUUUUAUCAUAUGAAUUUAGAGGUUAUCGAGAAAGUCAUCAUACUUGUGUAAUGUGCUAGAAAACCUGACGGAACUAUGUAGAGCAUGUGGGAAUGCACAGCAAAGUCCAGGGAGAAAUAAAGAUGGGCACGAUGACUGGGUAAGAUUAAACUAACCGUUCUGUAAUCUUACAAAUAGAAUAUACUAAUCUAUGGCAAUGCUUCUCAGAUCCAGUGUACAACAUGCGGGCUGUGGUUCCACUGGCUCUGCAUUGGAAAGCCGCCAUUGGAGCAGGACUUCUGCUGUCCUGCAUGUUAUCUGUAAUGGAGGAAGUAUGUGGCUGAAGCUCUCUAACUCUAUGCUAGGUUCUCGUGGUUCUAUCUGGACCCUGGUCUUGCGUUCUUCGGUGGUUCUGCCAUUUCAAUUGAAUGUUUUGUAGCUCUUGUAAUUAUUCUGUACACAAGACAUCUAUUGCACUUCUGUCCAUCUUGGGAGAGGGAUCCCUCCUCGUUUGCUCUCCCACAGG